rnacentral:rRNA from 1 species
UACGGAGGGUGCGAGCGUUGUCCGGAAUCACUGGGCGUAAAGGGCGCGUAGGCGGCGCGGAUAGUCGGCGGUGAAAGCCCGGAGCUCAACUCCGGGUCGGCCGUCGAUACUUCCGGGCUUGAGCACUGUAGAGGCAGAUGGAAUUCCGGGUGUAGCGGUGGAAUGCGUAGAGAUCCGGAAGAACACCGGUGGCGAAGGCGGGUCUCUGGGCAGUAACUGACGCUGAGGAGCGAAAGCGUGGGGAGCGAACAGG